UACGUAGGGCGCAAGCGUUGUCCGGAAUUAUUGGGCGUAAAGAGCUCGUAGGUGGUUUGUUACGUCUGCUGUGAAAACCUAGGGCUUAACCCUGGGCCUGCAGUGGAUACGGGCAGACUAGAGGUAGGUAGGGGAGAAUGGAAUUCCCGGUGUAGCGGUGAAAUGCGCAGAUAUCGGGAGGAACACCGGUGGCGAAGGCGGUUCUCUGGGCCUUACCUGACGCUGAGGAGCGAAAGCAUGGGGAGCAAACAGG
rnacentral:rRNA from 1 species